rnacentral:lncRNA from 1 species
GCAAAUAAAUAGUGGUACAAGGCUCGGAUUUCAUCUUCUCGCUCCCACGUUGAUUCUUCCCUUGCUCCCACCCACGUUGCUUCGUGUCCCAUUGAACCCAUACUCAAACCCGAAUAUCGCUUGUAGACCCAUACUCAAACCCGACUAUCGCAUUGAUUCUUCCCUUGCUCCCACAUUGAUUCGUGUCCCAUUGGACCUAUACUCAAACCCAAAUAUCGCUUGUAGACCCAUACUCAAACCCGACUAUCGCUUGUAGACCCAUAUCCACCAGAUAUAAAAAUAGUACUCGUACUUGAGAGAAUACUCAAGGUCCGGGACCCAAGACCCAGAUCUAUACUCAAGCC